rnacentral:rRNA from 1 species
UACGUAGGGGGCUAGCGUUGUCCGGAAUCAUUGGGCGUAAAGAGCGUGUAGGCGGUCCGGUAAGUCCGCUGUGAAAGUCGGGGGCUCAACCCUCGAAUGCCGGUGGAUACUGUCGGGCUAGAGUGCGGAAGGAGGCGAGUGGAAUUCCUGGUGUAGCGGUGAAAUGCGCAGAUAUCAGGAGGAACACCAAUGGCGAAGGCAGCACUCUGGGACGUGACUGACGCUGAGACGCGAAAGCGUGGGGAGCAAACAGG